rnacentral:lncRNA from 1 species
CGAACAGCGCCUUUCAGUAUAACUAUGUCAGGCAGUAUAGUCUCAGUACAAUUAUGGAUAAAGUUAGUAAAUAGACAUUUAAAAACAUAUUAAUUUAUGCUUAACCACAUCAAGUGGAGAAUUCAGUGUGUGUAUUAAAAUAUAUUUUUAGGUUAACCAAGUGGCCCAGGACUGAACUUACCUGUUGCAUGGAGGAUCAUGGAGCCUACAAGAACAUGAAGAGAUCUUCGCAAGUUAUGGAAAAAGAAAAAUUGAAGUAUGAUGGUGAAAUAUGAGGAAACAGUUUGGCUGUUAAUCAGCAUAAGGAUGCUCCAUCUUGCUUGGAAAACAAAGCGCUUCAGUACCAAAAAGUUUCUUCAAAGAAACUCCCAGACUGUAACUUGUGCAGCUCUGCAGAGGGGAGCUCUCACUGUACUUCAAAGCGGAGAAAAUCCUGCAGCUGUCUGGAGCCCGCUUGCCCCAGGAGGUGUCACUGUUGGGACUGGCAGGGUGAGCUCCAGAGCUGCUGUUUAUUUUUUAAAGACUGCAUUGACCAUGAGGUAGGAAUUGACCUGUAUUACAUCUCCCCUCCCCACUCCAGCCCUUCUGGGAAAAGGUAAUCACAGGUAAAAUUAGCUGUUUUUUAUAUGGAGGUAUGGGCAAAUACAGAAAUUAGCAAUAAUGAAAAGUAAAUAAAAAUUGAAUGCUAUCUUCUAUCUGAGAAAUA